rnacentral:piRNA from 1 species
UUCCAAGAGGCUGUUCCCAAUGGGCUG